GACGAACGCUGGCGGCGCGCCUAACACAUGCAAGUCGAACGGAGCUGAGAGAAGCUUGCUUUUCUUAGCUUAGUGGCGAACGGGUGAGUAACGCGUGAGUAACCUGCCCUGGAGUGGGGGACAACAGUUGGAAACGACUGCUAAUACCGCAUAAGCCCACGAUCCGGCAUCGGGGUGGGGGAAAAGGAUUUAUUCGCUUCAGGAUGGACGCGCGUCCAAUUAGCUAGUUGGUGAGGUAACGGCCCACCAAGGCGACGAUUGGUAGCCGGACUGAGAGGUUGAACGGCCACAGUGGGACUGAGACACGGCCCAGACUCCUACGGGAGGCAGCAGUGGGGGAUAUUGCACAAUGGGGGAAACCCUGAUGCAGCGACGCCGCGUGGAGGAAGAAGGUUUUCGGAUUGUAAACUCCUGUCGUUAGGGACGAUAAUGACGGUACCUAACAAGAAAGCACCGGCUAACUACGUG
rnacentral:rRNA from 1 species